CCAAAGUCACAGCCCAGGGAUGGCUGCAGUUCUUCCAGCACAGGAGCUCUCAGAUUACCCAAGCCCAGCACCUGCCCAGCCUCCUGCUCUGCUUUCAGCCUUCCACUGACAACAGGUAAUUUGCAACUCAUCCCCCUCCCUGGGAAAGCAAAGCUGAUCAUCAGCUCCUUCCAGCCCAGAGAUAAAAGGCUGUCCUUCCCCCCAGGGCAGCAGGGGAAGGUGUCAGGAGAGCAGAGAAUCACACGGCCACACUUGUCACACCAGAGGGACUCUGAUCCUCUCCUUGGGGACCUGCCAUCCCCUUACAGACCACCCGAGCAGCUCAGGGCUCUCUCAUCAGCAUUCCCUGGACUUCAUGUGGAAUUGUAAAACCCUGAACUCGAGGAAAACAGCCUGAGUCCCGUGGCUGACUGCAAGCUAUCACCAAUUCCUGGGAGCAUUAAAUGCCACCACCCUGCAAGUGCUCCGGCAGAUUCCCUGGGGCCCAGCUACCCAGUGAAUGGCACUGCUUGUAAUUCAUCCUGUCCACAAGUGGGUGUGUUAAUCAAGGGGAAAAUUCGUGCAAUUGGC
rnacentral:lncRNA from 12 species